UCGGUGUUUAUAGCCAGUUCGUUUUACGAGUGCGCGUUCAUCAGACUGGGGACGAUUUUUAGCCCUGUGCGGGCUACGCCGAGCACUCCCUCGUUGGAGCGUUGCGGGGUGACUGGAUGUGCCCGCGGUUUUUGGGAGCCUCACCUUUGCGUGGACUACCGCCGCGGGUCUCCGUAAGCUCAUUCCGUACUCGCCGUUGCUCAGGUGGUCAGCAGCGAGUAGGUCGGUAACCCACCGACCCGUCUUGAAACACGGACCAAGGAGUCUAACAUGUGCGCGAGUCAUUGGGUCUUGAUUAGGCCCAAAGGCGUAAUGAAAGUGAAGGGCGGUUCGGCCGUCUGCCUUGGGAUCCCGUGGACCUCGCGUUCGCGGGCGCACCAAGGGCCCGUCCCGGUCGCCUCGUCGACGGGGCGGAGCAAGAGCGUACACGUUGGGACCCGAAAGAUGGUGAACUAUGCCUGGGCAGGACGAAGCCAGAGGAAACUCUGGUGGAGGUCCGCAGCGAUUCUGACGUGCAAAUCGAUCGUCAGACCUGGGUAGGGGCGAAAGACUAAUCGAACCAUCUAGUAGCUGGUUCCCUCCGAAGUUUCCCUCAGGAUAGCUGGCGCUCGGAGGAUGCAGUCUCAUCCGGUAAAGCGAAUGAUUAGAGGCCUUGGGGUCGAAAAGACCUCAACCUAUUCUCAAACUUUAAAUGGGUGAGAAGUCCGGUUUGCUCGACUGAAGCCCGGACGGCAACUUGGAUGCGAGUGCCAAGUGGGCCACUUUUGGUAAGCAGAACUGGCGCUGUGGGAUGAACCAAACGCCGGGUUAAGGGGCCCGAUGCGAGACGCUCAUGAGAUCCCAUGAAAGGUGUUGGUUGCUAUAGACAGCAGGACGGUGGCCAUGGAAGUCGGAAUCCGCUAAGGAGUGUGUAACAACUCACCUGCCGAAGCAACUAGCCCUGAAAAUGGAUGGCGCUUCAGCGUCGACCCCAUACCCGGCCGCCGCGGCCGAAAAGCCUCGUGUUUUAAGCCGCGGUGAGUAGGAGGGGCGCGGAGGCGAGCGUCGAAGGUGCCGGGCGUAAGCCCGCCUGGAGCCGCCUCCGGCGCAGAUCUUGGUGGUAGUAGCAAAUACUCAAGUGAGAACCUUGAGGACUGAGGUGGAGAAGGGUUCCAUGUGAACAGCAGUUGAACAUGGGUCAGUCGGUCCUAAGGGAUAGGAGAAAUCCGUUCCGAGGCGGGACCUCCUCAAAUGUUUUUGAAAGUCCCGCUGAUGACCGAAAGGGAAUCGGGUUAAUAUUCCCGAACCCGGACGCGGAGAUCGUCCUCUUCGGAGGUACAUUGCGGUAACGCAAACGAGCUCGGAGACGUCGACGGGAGCACCGGGAAGAGUUAUCUUUUCUUUGUAAGGAUUCGACUCCCUGGAAUCGGCUCGCCCGGAGAUAGGGAUGGUGUUUCCGUAAAGCACCGCGCCUCUUGCGGUGUCCGGAUCGCUCCCGUCGGCCCUUGAAAAUCCGAGUGAGAGAUAGUGAUUUUCGUGCCGGA
rnacentral:rRNA from 1 species